rnacentral:rRNA from 1 species
UACGGAGGGGGUUAGCGUUGUUCGGAAUUACUGGGCGUAAAGCGCGCGUAGGCGGAUUAGAAAGUUGGGGGUGAAAUCCCGGGGCUCAACCCCGGAACUGCCUCCAAAACUNCUNGUCUUGAGUUCGAGAGAGGUGAGUGGAAUUCCGAGUGUAGAGGUGAAAUUCGUAGAUAUUCGGAGGAACACCAGUGGCGAAGGCGGCUCACUGGCUCGAUACUGACGCUGAGGUGCGAAAGUGUGGGGAGCAAACAGG